rnacentral:rRNA from 1 species
CUCCGGGGAUAACAGGCUGAUACCGCCCAAGAGUUCAUAUCGACGGCGGUGUUUGGCACCUCGAUGUCGGCUCAUCACAUCCUGGGGCUGAAGUAGGUCCCAAGGGUAUGGCUGUUCGCCAUUUAAAGUGGUACGCGAGCUGGGUUUAGAACGUCGUGAGACAGUUCGGUCCCUAUCUGCCGUGGGCGCUGGAGAAUUGAGGGGGGCUGCUCCUAGUACGAGAGGACCGGAGUGGACGCAUCACUGGUGUUCGGGUUGUCAUGCCAAUGGCACUGCCCGGUAGCUAAAUGCGGAAGAGAUAAGUGCUGAAAGCAUCUAAGCACGAAACUUGCCCCGAGAUGAGUUCUCCCUGAGACUAUAAGUCUCCUGAAGGAACGUUAAAGACGAUGACGUUGAUAGGCCGGGUGUGUAAGCGCAGCGAUGCGUUGAGCUAACCGGUACUAAUGAACCGUGAGGCUUAACCUU